GGGUGAUGUUACAGAGCUCUUCAACCUGGCUCAACGGAAUAUCCUGUACAUUAACAAGCAACGACUUAUUGCCAUGGAGGAGAUGAAGAAACUGUAGGAUGAAAAUAAUUUGCUUCUCGAGGAAAUACAAGGACUAGAAACAGAAAUGCAAGGAAUUCCCCUAGAAGCAGCACAGUCAUCAAGUUUCAGUGAGUUACUCCUGCGGAUAGAUACAAUGGUCAUUUCUGGAAUGAUCAGCAUGACGGAAGCAUCUGAUUUAAGAGAUAAACUUGUCACUAAUAGAAGCAUAAUACAAAGCACCUUUUCUGAUAUUCAUCAUAAGCCAAAUACUGAAUUGCUGUCUGAACUGCAACUCUUUUUGCAUAAACCAAUAGAGUAUGCUACCACUUACCUUACUUUUUUUUCCAGUUUUACCGCCUUUACUCAAAUUUUCUGCAGUGUUGCGGGAUACCUAUGUCCAUUUUUUAUUGCUGCCAUGACAACUUGACACAAUGAAUUGCCCAUUGACACCUGACAUGGCCUGGCUCAUAUCUGAUACAUUGAGAAAGAAUCUUGCUGCAGAGGGCAAGAGGAAGCUCAUGUGUGUUAUCCAUGAGAGGGAAAAAAUGGCAGAAGACAAUGAUAGGUGUGUAGCCGUAGAGAGGGAAUCACUUUAAAUGAUGGUUAAGACAAUGAUAGGUGUGUAGACGUAG